AUUAGAUUAAUUAUUGUAUAUAAUUAAUUACAAUAUUUAGAUUAAUUAUUGUAAUCAGAUAUCCAAUACACUUGCUAAAUUUUCAAGGAAAGAAAGAUGAAGAAAGGUGUGAAAGGAUAAUGCUGCUGCUGAGACUACAUUAUUUCAGGGUGCUGGAAGAAUGUCCCAUCUGCCUAGCUAAGUCCACAACUCCUAUUUAAAUUUUAUGGAAGGAAUCUUCUAAGUUUAGGAAGUUCACUUCACUGGGACAGGAUCUCCCUCUGGAUAUUUCCAAAGGUACCUCCCUCUCUGCAUUGCUUAUGUAUAUAAUGCAGUUGAAGUUAUUUUAGAUGGAUUAUUUUAUUAGCCACCUGACAUUUAAAUGGAAGUUAGAGCUAUUGGAACCCAUUAUCCAUCUUCUUUGGUAAAAGCUCAGAUGUUUCUUAUAUUUGACCUGCUAAAACAUCCCAACUGAAAUAGGGACAUAAAAGAAGCUUUGUAUCACCUCAGACUGUUCCUUCGUCCCACAUCCUGCAGUACCAUUCCCCAACAUGAGCUACCUGUAGCUGCAUUCUUCCCAGUGCAUGAAGAGAAGUAGAUCCUUUAGGAAUGGGUUUGUCUCAAGCUACAAUGCAGAUCAGGAAAUGCUAUAGAAGAUGGUGGCUUCAGGAGUCAUCUAGAGAUGGGACCUGUAGGGACGCAAGGACACUUGCACCACACUGCAACUUCUGCCUGGGCUGUGUACCUAAGUUCUGUUUCCAGGGAAUCCAUUGCACAAGAAGGUAGGGCUGGUUGUCAUCCCCAUCUCACUCUGCUAUGCAGCUGGGACUUGACUAGUGUUUGCACCAAGAUGGGAUUGCAAAGGACUGUCAGUGACAAGAAUACAGAUUAAUGACAACACAGUCCUGCACUGGUAAUAGAGACUGGAGGGACAAACAAAAUGUUUGCAGACAGGGACAUGAAAUCAGCAGAGGCUGCGUUUACACUUAGUGGAAGGAUAGACAUAUUCAGAGAGAGAAUCAUCUGACCUAUUUUUUAUGCACCCUCCUGGCACCCAGUUAUGUUCACUGACCAAAAAGACUACUUCCUCCAAACUGAGACCAAUCUAUAAAAGGGGAAAGUGGGACAGAGUGACAUCUCCAAUCCCAACUGAAUUGAGUUUUAAAGAACUGCAGUGAAAAUACAAGGCACGUGAGCAUCACAAAAAAAGCAUUCCUGAAGAUGCAGAAAAGCUGGAUGCAAUUCCUUUGUACUCUUCAUACUGCUGGGACACUUUG